rnacentral:lncRNA from 1 species
GGCGGCUGCGCGCUGCCGCUGCGGCCGUGCGGCAUCCUGCUCGCCGGCGACUGCCUGACCUGCAAAUUCCGGACAAGCACAUUAGCACAGUGAGUGACUAAACUCCGGACAACGGGACAAGCACAAAAAUUCAUUGAUUUAGACAUUUAGUAUUUUAGUGUAGUUGCUUGCUUGCUUGCUUGCUUGAUUUAGACAUUUAGUUUGUAGGAUUGUAGUUGACUAGUUGCCUAUUUGAGUAUUUGAGUAAUUGAGUAUAUUGGACACUGGACAGUAGUUCAUAGUUCAUACCAUAUUAGCAAAUUUGUAGUAUUUUAAUGAUUGUUUGGUUACAUUCAUUGAAAGAGAAUUCUUUUUGCAAGCUAAGGACAAGGACAUCAUCAAUUAUUUCCAAAAUAUCAAGCGUCGAAAAGUUAAUAUCUAAAUUGUAAGUUUUCUUCCUAACUUAUUAUUUUCUAUCAUUUUUGUAUUCCAUAUUUUGACACUUUGAUAUGUUUGGUAUUAGUAUUUCUAUAAGUUAAACAAUUUCUAGUGAUGAUCAAUUCUAUCACUGUGUGAACUAAUGAUCAAUUUUAUGUUCUAUACGCUCUAAAUUAUAAUUAUUAGUGUAUCAUAAUAUACAAGCCCAUUUUUUGGCUUUUUGGUGUAUGGACAUUUUUUUACCCCUUCCCAUUUCGAAUACCCAAGUUUAAAAAGCUGGGCCCGCCACUGCCAUCAACCUAUGAUUUAUAUUGUUGUAAUUCGCUUGCUCAACGCAUGCAUGUUCCAUCAAAUUUGGCGACUCAGUUGCAGUUAAGACGAUUCACAGGGGUAAUAUCCACACAAAAUUCAGGCAAGGUUAUGCAGUUCCUUACAAGGAUCUAGGUGCCUGAGGCUGAAAUUAAUCUGCGCACGAAUCGGGACGUACGAGUGGUGACCCAUCGGUGGCCGCGCUGGCAGGCGACGGUGGCGGCGGCAUGGCCCAGCAACCGCGCGCUCUAUGUGCGGUCCGUCGGCGAGGAGGUCGAGGACGAACACUUCCGCACCAUAUCUUUCUUCCCCCCGCCGACGUGCCUCGCCAGCAGCGCCCAAACUUGCGCGAGGGGAACAGCAAAGACGUCCACGGCCACCAGGAGGAACUUCGGCAGACGGCCGUUCCAGACUUCCCCUACCCGGCGGCGUCGAGGGCACGGACGCGGCGACGGAAGAUAGCGCGAGUCCGGGCGAAGACAUGCCGCAGGCGACGAGAUGCUCGGCGAACGCGACGUAGAUGGCGAUAGAGCGGUGGCCGGUGGCUGUGGCGCGGGUGCCGCGUUCUGAGCAACGGCGAGCGAACAUGACGUGGCUCUGGCUCUGACGUAUGCCGCGGAGGAGGACGGCCGCCGAUGCGUCUCCUGGCGACGCUGAGGAGGUCGAUCGAGGCUACCGACGGGCACGGGCUUGUGGCUACGUACGUCUCCUGGUGGCGCUGUUGGCCAAUGGCCAGGCGCGGAGGGAGCUCGCCGCCGCCGAUGGGCUCUGAACCUCCGACUGACUUGAGGCAUGUGGACGAGUCUACUGGUGGCGAGGAUGAGGAGGCCGCCGCCAAUACAUCUCUGCCGAUCUGGCCUCCCAUACAACCUGUCGCAGCUGAGCCCAAACGUCGACGAGGAGCGCCUCGCCACCAUCGCGCGCGCCGGGGGGGUGGGGGGGGGGGGGGGGCACACCAUCUGGACAAACUUGCGGCGGAGAGCCCCCCAUCCACUCGCCGUCGACGUCGAGGGCAACGACGCGCGCGGACCGCGGACGCGGCUUGUGGCGACUGGCGAGCGAACAGCCGCCCGCCGCCGCCGGAGACGACGUGCUCGUAGAGCGGUGAGCCGAUGACAAUGGCGCUUGCGCUGUGUCCUGAGGCGCGGGGAGCACGAUGACGCUUUCGCCCUCGGCCGGCAGCGAACGGAGUUGACGAAGAAGGCGGUGGCGUGGUGGUGGUGCACUGGUGCGCGAGAGGAUGGCAAUAUGUUUACUACUCCUACUCUCCUAGUCUCCUGUGCCUUUGUGCUGUGGGGCGGUGGCGAUAUAACAGGUCCUUCAACUGUCAAAACCAGUGCAGACAAGGCCACUUAGUAGAUUGGAUGACGGUUUUGGCUGACAUGACCACCAUGUGGCUGGUUUGACUAGGUAUUUGUCCUACGUGGCAGUUUGAUCAAAAAAAUAAAAAUUAUGGGGGGAAAACAUGUCACGUAAAUUAUAAAAUAAUUAAAUAAUGGUGGGCCCACAUGUCAGUGAUACAACAUCAUCUUCGUCCUCUCUCACCCUUUCCUCCUCUUCCCAAUCUUUGUCCAGGUCUCCAACGAGGCAACGGCCGCUGUCCGGUGGGGGAGGAGCUAGGCGACAGUCGCAACAUUACCGAGCUCAACCGCCACGGGACCUCCGUUCCCGCCUCGCCGCUAUGGGCUUCCUCUGUCCCCGCGCAUUCGUCCUCCGUGGAGUCGCCUCGGAGUCACCUCGAAGCCGCUGUCUUACUCCUCUCCCAUGCUUGGAGGCUACGACAAGCGCAGUGGAGGUGGUGUCGGCAACAACGGAUUUGGACUUGGAGGAGCUUGUCAGCCUCCCUGCCUCCUCCAUCUCCGCGCGGUGGAGCUGGUGUUAGCGACGACAGAUUUGGACUUGGAUGAGCUCGUCGGCCUCUCCGUCCCGCUCACUGGCCCUCCCUACCUUCUGCCUCUCCACACACACUCGCGGGCCUCCCCGCCCCCUAGCUGGACGACCCCAGUGCUUCCUCUCCGCGCGCUCUUCGGCCUCCCCGUCCCCUCGCCAGCCUACUCGUUCCACUCGUCAGCCUCCCCACGACCUCCCUCUCCAUGAACGCUCGCCGCCCUCCCCUCCCGAUGGCUACUGUUCCCUGGGGUCCUUCUCCCCGCCGUCCGGCGGCCGCCGCCCUUCUCCCUCUCCGUGUGUGCUCACCGACGAGCGAGGGGGCUCGAGGAGGAAGAAUGGCCGGGAGGGAGAAGGGAGAAGGAGCACACUGUCGUCCGUGGAGAUAGAGAGGAGGGUGGGACCCACUAACAUGUGGAUCCCACUUUUUUUCUUUUGCUGGACCCACAUGUGGGCCCUACAUUUUUGUUUAAUUUUUACUUUUUUUGUAUUUUGCUUCAUGUGCCACAUCACCGCCACAUAGGACGAGGACCAAGUCAAACCAGCCACGUAGGUGCUACGUCAACCAAAACCGCCAUCUAAGCUCUCGAGGGACCUCGUCCACACUGAUUUUGAUAGUUGAGGGACCCGUUGUAUCUGGUAUUGUGUUUUAGUGACAAAAUUGAAAUGGAAUUAAAGUUAAGGGUGUGUUUGGAUAAUGGGAAAUGAGGGGUGGGAUUGGGAUUGGGAAAUGAAUGAAUAGUUAGGAUUAAAUGGAAGGGGGAGAAUGAAUGAUUAGAAUUUAAAUAUGUCUUUUGAUGGGUGGGAAAUCAUUUCCCUAUCCCAUUUGCCAAACAUGGCCUAAGGGAUAUCAAAUGAACUUAUUCUAAAGGAAAAUAAACCAGGCCUAGUUAGACUGUGGGCCGGUAGCUUGAAGUAAAAGAAAAGGGAGGACAUCUGGGCUGUAUUAGCGCUGUAGGUAAAGAAAGAGCCCAUGUGCUGUAUUUUCAUGUUUGGACUCAGAAUAUUUGUACGAAAUCUAGGGAGGUUGUUAGAUAGGGCAGUAUUUUUGAGGUUUUGAGUUGACUUCUCAUUUGGAAAAUUGUGAGGAAUUUUCAAGGGAGGGAUAUGAAGCUGGAUCCAAUCAUUUGAACUGUAUAUAUAUGUCUAACUAGCAAGGUGGCUCGCGUAGAUUACGCGGCUAGCAUUAUUAUAUUUUCUGAACUAGAAAAAAUACCCACGCGUUGUAACAGGUGAAGGCUAUUUUAAUAUUGUUAAAGGCUAUUUUAAUAUUAUUAUUGUUCACUGUGAAAAUUCAGUUGGAUAUAUAUUUUCUAGAAAAUCACAUCAAGUUAGUAUGCGGGCUUUUUUAAAAUAAAUUUCUUAUAUGGCUAUUUUUUAAUUCCAAAAGCGAACAAACUUAAAACCCGACUCAAAUACGGAUAUGUAUUUCUCCAAAAGCAAACGGACUUAAAAACCGACUCGUACACAGAUAGUAACAAAGUACAGGCAAAAACAUCUUUAAUUUUUAUAAUAGUAGAGAUUUUGAAAAUGUCUAAUUGUAUUUAUAUCUAAACUCUAAACUCAUCUUUCGAUAUUCUUUAUUUAGGAUGACUUACCAAAGUACCGGUAAAAACAUCUUUAAUUUUUAUAAUAGUAGAGAUUUUGAAAAUGUCUAAUUGUAUUUAUAUCUAAACUCUAAACUCAUCUUUCAAUAUUCUUUAUUUUUUUUCAUUUCAAAUUUCAAUUACUUCUAAAUUAAAUUGUAUUUCUAUAUGGACUCUUGAUACUUCAUCUUUUUUUUUAAUUUCGAGUUUUAGUUCAUUGUAAAUUGUAUUUCUAUAUGGACUCUAAACUCUACUUUUAAUUUUAUUAUUUUUAUUCUGAAUUUUAGUUCAUUCUAAAUUCCUAUAUGGUCUCUAUACUAUUAUUCUAAUAUUUAUUAUUUUUUAAUUGUAUUUCUAUAUGGACUCUAUACUCUUCUUCUAAUAUUCUUUAUUUUUUAAUUCCGAAUUUUAGUUACUUCUAAAUUGUAUUUCUACGUGGACUCUAAACUCUUCUUUCAUUAAUCUUUUUUUAAUUCUGAAUUCUAGUUAUUUAUAAAUUGUAUUUUUAAUUCCUUAUUUUUUAAUUCCGAAUUUUAGCUAUAUUAAAUUGUAUUUUUUUAUGAACUCUAUUUUUCUUUUUCUCCAUAUGAGAAUUUUUAGACCGUGAGAACAAACGUGGAGGCUCUUUUUUCUAUUACUUUAAUAAGUUAAUAGAUUAUUAAUUUGCAUCUACCAAUAGUGUAUCUGUACUUACAUUGAAGCAAUGAAUCGUACUAAAACUCAUGAUAGCCCUAGAGUUAAACUAGCGGGUGAAUAGCUAAUUUAGUCCCUCAAGUUUUACCGAAGGCUCAAUUUGAUCCUUCACGUUUCAUUUUAUCCACAUAACUCCUCUAAAUAUUUGUUUUGGUUUGAAAUCAUCCUUGGGCCCACUUAAUAUGCCAUAUGGCUAUUUCUAGUUAAUAUUUCUAUUAGAAAAUAUCCCUUUUGCCCUUAAUUUGUAUAUAACUAUAUACUAGAAAACAAAAAACCAAGAUGAAUAAACAACAUUAUAGAUGUACUUCCCAUUAUUUCAAUAUGUGCACAUGAAACUUAAGCAAUUGCUACCGUAUACAUUUUCUAGUACAUAAUUUAUUUUCGUUUUACAUAAUUUACUAUGCAUUAUCUAUAAAAAAAAUCAAGCAUGCAAUUUUUCUCUUAUAUAUGUGAUUGAUGAGGGUAUAAGUGUAAUUUAUCAAGAGAGUUGUUGGUUCAAGGAUAAGUUUGAACUAAAACAAACUUGAAGGACUAAUACAGAUAGAUUGAAACAUCAAAGACUAAACUGAGCCUUAGAUAAAACUUGAAGGACCACUUUGGCUAUUCACACUAAACUAGCUAUAUCCACACAACAGUGACAACACAUCUCUCGAUGAGAAGAAAAGCCAAAGUGAUCAGUCAAAAAGCACAAAAGCUCUGAGAAAUAUUGUGAAAGUAGAAGUGCAUAUGCGCUGCUUGCAAGUGCCGAAUAACUCCUUUCAUCCGAGAAGAAUAUGCCCGCUCUUUAGCUUUUGUUUGUCCAUGCAUCCAUGAAGUACUGAUUUUUAUCAAAGCUAAUGAAAUGAUUGAUGAAAUUCGAUGAAUGUAGGACAAUCACAUUAAUGGAUCGUACGUACUGGAUGCAGCUCAUCUGACGUAAGAGGGAUGUGAGUCAUUCACAGGCGAGGCUCACUCUCAUAGACCCACAUGUCAGUGACACACGUCUCUUUAAUGUCGGAUAUCCUGUUAGGAGGCGAACCGGAACUAAAGAUGAUGGUGUGAUCCCUUCGUCCCGUUGAAGUAAUAAACCGGGACUAAUAAGCCACUUUAGUCCCGGUUCGUUUUGAAACCGGGACUAUUGUGGAAAUCGGCCAACCCUUCAAAG